UACGGGGGGGGCAAGCGUUGUUCGGAAUUACUGGGCGUAAAGGGCUCGUAGGUGGCCAACUAAGUCAUACGUGAAAUCCCUCGGCUUAACCGGGGAACUGCGUCUGAUACUGGAUGGCUUGAGGUUGGGAGAGGGAUGCGGAAUUCCAGGUGUAGCGGUGAAAUGCGUAGAUAUCUGGAGGAACACCGGUGGCGAAGGCGGCGAUCCUGGACCAAUUCUGACACUGAGGAGCGAAAGCCAGGGGAGCAAA
rnacentral:rRNA from 1 species